AACCCCUGGAACUGGGCAAUGCUCUAUACCCUUUAAAGGUUUGGCACUCUGUGGUUUGUGUUUGUUAUCAUUUUGUUUUCUUUUUAAACUCCUGGAAAUCCCUUUUCACUUCAGGAGAGGAAGAAGCCAAGAAGGGGAUAUGAAGUCCAGGACACAGAAGACCCAGCAAUGUCCCAGUUUGUCCAAUCAAGUGUUCUCCAGAGAAGCUGGCUGUGAAUUCCAGACCAGUAUAGAAAACAGAGUGAAUGGCGAGGUGGAAGCAUCGACACUCAACGCCUAGUAAGUCAUCCCACCAGUGGGCUUCCAGCCUGCCAUGUGGUCAGGCCUGGCUACAGCAGUCUCCGCUGUCCUACUCCAACAGUGUUUCAGAUGGGAGUGUGGUCCCCACCCCAUGCACCUCUGAUGGCACACAGUGCCACUACCAGUUGGGAGCCAGGGCUGAUAACAGCUCCCAGUUCCUGAUGGUCCAACAACCUGUCCAGAUCUUCAUGAUGAGCAGAAACUUCCUAGAAUUACUCGGUUUGCACAGCAGGAUUCUGCCCAUGAGACACCUCUUCCCAGCUUUCUCAAGGGGAUACACCAAAGGGAAUAAGGAGAGGAGGUGGAGGAGGUGAGACUUCUCCCUAGCUGAAUGGGGUGGGGGCUCCUCCUCAGCUUCUUAACCAAGCUAACACCCAGGGCAAUACUGCCUCCUGGGCCCUGCCAGAAGUGUGCAGGUCUAAGGAUGCUGAGGAUAUACCUGCUGCUCUUCUUAGCUGUUCCAGAUGGCACCCACUAAGGGACAGGAAGUCACUUCUCAUCAAAAU
rnacentral:lncRNA from 1 species